AUUGAACGCUGGCGGAAUGCUUUACACAUGCAAGUCGAACGGUAGAGGGGGCAACCCCUCGAGAGUGGCGAACGGGUGAGUAAUAUAUCGGAACGUGCCCAGUCGUGGGGGAUAACGUAGCGAAAGUUACGCUAAUACCGCAUACGAUCUAAGGAUGAAAGCGGGGGAUCGCAAGACCUCGCGCGAUUGGAGCGGCCGAUAUCAGAUUAGGUAGUUGGUGGGGUAAAGGCUCACCAAGCCAACGAUCUGUAGCUGGUCUGAGAGGACGACCAGCACCGCGGGAACUGAGACGCGGUCCAGACUCCUACGGGAGGCAGCAGUGGGGAAUUUUGGACGAUGGACGCAAGUCUGAUCCAGCCAUUCCGCGUGCAGGAUGAAGGCCCUCGGGUUGUAAACUGCUUUUGUACGGAACGAAAAGGUCUCUCUUAAUACGGGGGACUCAUGACGGUACCGUAAGAAUAAGCACCGGCUAACUACGUGCCAGCAGCAGCCGCGG
rnacentral:rRNA from 1 species